ACCAGUAGAGUUCUAAACUAAAAGGCCACCGACUUUGCCAAAUAUCAAAACUAAAGCCAUGUCACAAUUCAUAACAAACCUACCAUAAACCUCUCACUCCCUCCGAUUCCCAAAUCCCAAAUGCCUAACCCUAACCCAAACCCAAACCCAAACCCCAAUUUCCGAAAUCAAGAUCUCUCUCUCCCUCCGAUUCCCAAAUCCCAACUGGGAAGAAGAUCAAGGUCUGAUAUCGGCAAAUCCGUCAUAAUUUUUGGCGGUUAUAAUGGAUUUGGACCAGAACGAGAACCGACUUUGAUGGAGGAUGGAGAAAAGUUUAAAUGGUAUUCUAUUCCAGUCCCUGAUGAUGAUGCAGAUGCAAAGGCAGAGGCAGAAAAAAAGCUGAGUCCGUUUUCCGUAGUGGAGCUUCCCAAACUGCAUUCCUUUGUAGCACUAAAAUCAUCUAUAUAUUGUCUUAGCUACUAUACCACAGAGACGUGGAUUUUCGAUGGUUGUUGGAAGCUUGGUCCUCAAAUGAAUGUUCGUAGAUCUCAUCCUCACACCAUUGUCCUGAGCGGUAAGCUGUAUGUUUUAGGUGGUUUAUAUGAUGCUAGAGAGGAAUACAUUUGGAUGGAGGUUCUUAACCCGAAACGCAGAGCCUGGAGACCAUUGCCCAAUCCUCCAUUACGGAUUAGGUCCUUUGGCAUGGUUUCUGUUGCUUUAGAGCGCACUAAACAAAUUAUUGUGAGUGCAUUCCUUAGGGGCGACUCCAAGGACUCCAAGUUCCGCCUUUGUUAUUCUUAUGAUAAUGAUAGUUGUGUGGUUUACAUAUAUAAUGUCCGUACUUGUUGUUGGACAGAAGUUGAGCCUCCGACCAUCAAUCUACGUUGUGGGUCUCCAAUUAUGCGUGUUAAUAGAGCUGUAGUAGGUGCGGAUGAUACCCUCUAUUGGGCUUCGCUCAAUGAGGAUGAUCAGCUUUUAGUUGUCCAUGCUUACUGUCUAUAUAAAAAUGAGUGGUUCGAGGGCUUUAUCAGCCCUACGAGAAUCAUUGGGAUGAAAGAGGUUAUAAGUUAUAUGAAGGAUCCAACUCCUGUCCACUUAGGCGGUACCAAAUUCUGCCUUCUAUUUCAAUCCUACAUCCCUCAUCCGCGGAAACCAGGAAUGCGGAUAUCUGAAAUGAAGAAUGAUUGGUAUCUCCAUUCGGUUGUAUUUGAUUUUUCUCUAGAAUCAGAUCCGGAGGAGGAUUUCGGGGACCUGCAUAUUUCAGUCGUUUCAACCCAGAAAUAUCGUCUAGAUCACCGCUUACGUUUCAGUGAUGCUGUGUUGAUGGAUGGUGGUGCCUUCAAUCGCACCUUGCAGAAGAAACCAAAGUUAUGUGCAGAUUAGUGUGGGUCACUUCCUUCAAGGCUGGGACGUGGAGCAGACAAAGAGACCAUUACUCCAGUAAGAUGCUCAAGUAGAAUCAGAAACCAAUUCACUUGUCCAUGAUGACCCAACUACAAGCUCUAUUUUAGUUUAUGAUUCUUCAUUGCAUAGUGAAGCAAUCAUAUUAUUAUAAGACUUCCCUUAUCCAAAUACCACGUCGCAUAUAAGCAAUGCUUGAAACAGUUUGACCAUCACUGCCAAUGGAUAUCUAAUUUGUGGUGAAGGUGAUAAGUUGUACUAAAUAGUAGGUCAGUUCAUAGAAUAGGUAGAUAUAUGUGGGAAAGACAUUCCUGGUACAAUUUUUAUCAUCUCAUUUGUAUCUCUUCUUUACUAUUGUUUCUUUUGGUUGUUAAAAUAUU